ACUUGCUUUCUUUGCUGGCGACCGGCGCACGGGUGAGUAACACGUAUCCAACCUGCCCUUUACUCGGGGAUAGCCUUUCGAAAGAAAGAUUAAUACCCGAUGGCAUAAUGAUUCCGCAUGGUUUCAUUAUUAAAGGAUUCCGGUAAAGGAUGGGGAUGCGUUCCAUUAGGUUGUUGGUGAGGUAACGGCUCACCAAGCCUUCGAUGGAUAGGGGUUCUGAGAGGAAGGUCCCCCACAUUGGAACUGAAACACGGUCCAAACUCCUACGGGAGGCAGCAUG
rnacentral:rRNA from 1 species